ACUUCUCAACCCCGCCUAUUCAUUUAGGUAGCUUGGGCUUGGAUCAUGAUUGUUGCUCUUUCCUUUUGUGAAAGAGCUCAGUUGAAAUACAACAAGUUGGAUGGACGUACAGUUACCGCUUGACCUGAUGUUGUAGAAACACUUCGUCGGGGAUGGUAAUCUGAAGGUGCAAUGAACUUUAACAGACCUUAAUUGACACUAUUAGAUUAGUGCAUU
rnacentral:misc_RNA from 1 species